rnacentral:lncRNA from 10 species
ACCUCUCUCUCAAUAGAGAGAGAGCGCAGUUUUACUUUCUCUUUCAUCUGCCUAUUAAACCUCUGCUCCUAAACUCCUCAUGUGUGUCCAUUUCCUAAAUUUCUGGUGCAAGAUGAAGAACCCCAGGUGUAUACCCCAGAUAAUGUAGCUGCUUCAUACUGGGGGCUCAUCCAGGAUACCAAGGUACAACAUUCAUCAAAACGCAACAUCUGAUGGAGGCAAACCAGUGUUACAACCUAUCGGAAUGGUUGACAGCAAUCAAACUCCAAAUGGUGCUGCAGAGAGAACCACGCAUGGACAUGCCUUCUUAUGAGGACCAACCCCAGGAGGAACCUUAGCUGCUGUUCCCCACACAACACCCCUUUUCAGCAGGAAGUAGCCAGAAAGUGUCAUCAUCCACACAACCACAAGCUGAAGUCCCACAAUAGGCCAUCUGCAAGCUGAGGAGCAGGGAAGCCAGUCCAAGUCCCCAAACCUCAAAAGUAGGGAAGCCAGGAGUCUUCAUUCUGUGGCUGAAGGCCCAAUAGACCCUGGCAAAUGACUGGUAACCCACUCGUGUAAGUCUAAGAGUCCAAAAGCUGAAGAACUUGGAGUCUGACGAUUGAGGGCAGGAAUUAUCCAGCACGAGAGAAAAAUGAAGUCCAGAAGACUCAGCAAGUCAAGUCCUUUGCUGUUCUUCUGCCUGCUUUAUUCUAGCUAUGCUGGCAGCUGAUUAAAUGGUGCCCACCUGGAUUGAGGGUGGGUCUGACUCUCUCAGUUCACUGACUCAAAUAUUAAUCUACUUUGGCAACACCCUCACAGACUCACCCAGGAACAAUACUUUGCAUCUUUUAAUUAAGUUGACACUCAAUAUUAACCAUUACAACAACCAAGUGGGAUUUAUCCCAGAUAUGCAAAGCCAGUACAAUAUUCAAAAAUAAUUAAUUUACUUUAUCACAUCAAUAGAGAAAUCACAUAAUAGAUACAGUCAAAGGAUUUUACAAAAUCCCAUGCUCAUUCUUGAUUAAAGCUCUCAGUAAACUAAAAAUAGUGAACCAUUUCCUCGACUUGAUAUAGAAUAUCUAUAAAACAUCUACAGCUAACAUUAUCUUUUAUAGUAACAAACUCAAAGAUUUUUCACUAAGAUCAGAAACAAGGCAAUGAUGUUCUCUCUCACCACACCUUUUCAACAUUGUACUAGAAGUUCUAGCUAAUGCAGUAAGGCAAUAAGAGGAAAUAGAAGUAUGCUGAUUGGGAAGUAAGAAAUAAAGUUUUCUUUAAUUGCAGAAGACACAUUUAUCUAUGUAGAAAAUCUGAAAGAACCAAUGAAAAAAUUUCUGAAACUAAUAAACAAUCAUAGCAAAAUUGCAGGAUAUAAGGUUAAUAUACAAAUGUCAAUAGCUUUCCUAUAAACCAGCAAUAAACAGGGAUUGUUUUAAUUUAAUUUCAAAUUAAUUAAAACACAAUACCAUUUCACUAGCACUCCCCAAAAUGAAAUACAUAGGUAUAAAUAUAGCAAAAAAAUGCACAAGAUCUAUUUGAGAAAAGUGGCCAAAAACUCUGACGAAAGAAAUAAUAGAAGAACUAAAUAAGUAGAACAAUAUCCCAUAUUCACGAAGAGGAAGACUCAAUAUUGUCAAGAUGUCAGCUCUACCCAACUUAAUCUAUAUGUCAUCAAAAUAAAAAAUCCCAGCAAGUUAUUUUAUAGAUAUUAUCAAACUUAGUCUAAAGUUUAUGUGGAGAGUACAAAAAAAAACAGAAUAGCGAAUACACAUUGAAAGAGAGAAACAAAGAUGUAGGACUGACACUACUCAACUUUAAGACUUACUGUAAAGCUACAGUAAUCAAGACAGUGUGGUUUGGUUGAAGAAUAAACAAAUAGAUCAAUGGAACAAAAUACAGAGCUGAGAAACAGAACCACAUAAAUACAGUCAACUAAUCUUUAACAAAGGAACAAAGGCAAUACAAUGGAGAAAAGAUAGUCUUUUCAACAAAUGGUGCUGAGACAACUGAACAGCCACAUGCAAAAACGUGAAUCUAGAAACAUACCUUAAACUCUUCAAAAAAUAGCUCAAAAUUGGUUAUAGAUAUAAACGCAAAAUGAAAACUAUAAAAUUCCUGGAAGUUAACAAAAAAGAAAAUCUAUUAUAGAUGACAUUGGGUUUGACAAUGAUAGAACACCAAAUGUACCCAAUGAGGGUGAUAACAGUAUAUACUCCAAAGGUUUUGUGUGAGGAUUAAAUGAGUUAAAAUACAAAGCUGUUACUUGAAUGGAAAGUGGUAUACAGGAAGUAAUAACACUCAUGAAUGAUCCAUGAAAAAAUUGAUAAGCUGGACUUUAUUAAAAUUAAAAUUUUCUGCCCUGGGAAAGACAAUGUCAAGAGAAUAAGACAAGCAACAGAUGGAAAAAAAAAAGUUUGCAAAAAACAUCUGACAAAGGACUGUCAUUCAAAUACACAAACAAUUCUUAGAACUCAACAAUAAGAAAAUAAACAAUCCUAUUAAAAAUGGGCCAACGACCUUAGCAGACAUUUCACCAAGGAAGUUAUACAGAUGGCAAAUAAGCAUAUGAAAUGAUGUUUCAUAAUAUAUGUCAUCAGAGAAAUGCAGAUUCAAAUGAUCUGAUGCCACUAUACACCCACUUGAAUGGCCAACAUCCAGAACACUGACAACAUCACAUGCUAAUAACGACGUGGAGCAACAGGAACUCUCAUUCAUUGCUAAUGGGAAUGAAAAAUGGGGCAGCCACUUUGGAAAACAGGUCCUUACAGCACUAAACAUACUCUCACCAUAUGAACCAGUAAUCACAUUCCUUGGUAUUUACUCAAAUGAGGUUUAAAAACAUGUUCACAGAAAAACCUGCCUAUGCCUACAAAUGUUUAGAGCAACUUUAUUCACAAUUGGCAAAACUUUAUUCAUAAUUGUCAAAGCAAUCAAGAUGUCUUUCAUUAGAUGAAUGGAUAAAUAAACAACUAAACAAUGGAAAAUUAUUCAGAGGUGAACUAUGGAGCCACUAAAAACAUAAAGGAAGCUUAAGUGCAUAUUAAUAAGUGAACAUAGCCAAUCCAAAAAAAGCUGUCUACUCUAUGAUUCCAAUAUGGGACACUCUGGAAGGACAAAGCUAUAGAGACACUAAAAAGAUCAGUAGCUGUUGCGGGGUGGAGGAGGGAGCGAUGAAUAGGCAGAGCACAGAGGAUUUUUAGAGUGGUAAAAAUUCUCUGUGUGAUACUACAAAGGUAGGCACAUUGGACACAUUUGUCCAAUACGAUAGAAUGUACAACACAAAGGACAAAUCUAAUGUAAACAAUGGACUUUGAGUGACAAUGACGUUGUCAAAGCAGACGCAUAACCUGUAACGAUGAACCACCAUAGUGGGGGAUGUUGCUAAUGUGGGAGGCUGGGCAUGUAUCAGAACAGGGGGAUGUUCUGAUGUUCUGGAAGGUGCACAGGAACACUGUGUUCCUCAAUUUUGCUGUGAACCUAAGCUUGCUCUUUUAAAGGGUCUUUAAAAUAAGGUAGCUUUGGCUAUACACCAAGAGACUGGCUGAUGAGAUCAUCUGUAUGACUUAAAAUAGAGUAAAAAUGCUUAACAAAUUU